AUUCCGUGAUGAGGGCACUUUCGUAAUAACUCUUGAACCUUUCCCAUGCCUCAUACAAGGACUCAUGAUCCAUUUGUUGGAAGGUAGUGAUCUCGUUCCUCAACUU
rnacentral:snoRNA from 1 species